AUGCUUGCUUUGGCGCACACAUACUAAAAUUCUAAUGAGAUUAGCAUGGCUCCUGCACAAGGAUGACACACAAAUUCAUGAAGCAUUCUAUAUUUUU
ensembl:snRNA U6 U6 spliceosomal RNA